rnacentral:tRNA from 1 species
GCUCUGGCGGUUUAGUGGUAAAAUUAUCACCUUCCAUGAAGGGGACCCAGGUUCGAUUCCUGGCCAAUGCA